CGUAGGGUGCGAGCGUUAAUCGGAAUUACUGGGCGUAAAGCGUGCGAAGGCGGUUUAGUAAGACAGGCGUGAAAUCCCCGGGCUCAACCUGGGAACUGCGCUUGUGACUGCUAAGCUAGAGUACGGCAGAGGGGGGUGGAAUUCCACGUGUAGCAGUGAAAUGCGUAGAGAUGUGGAGGAACACCAAUGGCGAAGGCAGCCCCCUGGGUCGAUACUGACGCUCAUGCACGAAAGCGUGGGUAGCAAACAGGAUUAGAUACCCUGGUAGUCCACGCCCUAAACGAUGUCAACUAGGUGUUGGGAGGGUAAAACCUUUUAGUACCGGAGCUAACGCGUGAAGUUGACCGCCUGGGGAGUACGGCCGCAAGGUUA
rnacentral:rRNA from 1 species